UCCGUUUGUAUUUCUUCCCGUCCCAACUACAUCGUUGAGGGACCAACUAAAGUUAAAAGACAAGCGGUUAGCGACAAAACUGGCAGUACGUUCACGGCUCGGCAACACGCUCCUUUAUCCGACACCAGCAAAAAAAAUACUGAAAAGUUGCCCGAAAAGCGGAAAGAUAUGCAGCAAUACGGAAACCACCCAUGUCAAUAAAUAGAGAAAGGUCCAGCUGAACCUACCUCAUACUCCUGCAGCUCCUCAAUCAGAACCUAACAACAGACACACACUAGCGUUAGCGGCGAGCAAUGGCUACUAAUUCAACGGUCAUUCUUUUCCAACGAUUCGAGUCAACGUCUUAUUGUGUAUCGUUACCUGCGAUGCCUUCUUACAGGGUCCGGACUGUAGAAACCUGGCGAUGAGGGACGCCCAGCACUCACCAGCUUCGAUUCGUGAACACCGUUCUCCUGCCAUCGCUUGAUGAGACGGGCGACAUGAAGACGAACUGGUGUUUUAGCUCGCUCGUUAGCCGCCGGCUAGCUAACAGUAGCUAGAUGUGUGUAGCUAAAACAGGCUGAUGAAUGGCCUCCUCCUUUCGAGUUGUUCCCUGACCACCUGGUGCUUUGUGUUAGCGCCCUCCAGUGAAAAUGGGAGAUAUUGGUUGGUUAGUUAGGGUUUUUUUUUUAAUCGAAAAUGAAUAAAUGCUAAUAUGCUCAAAUUCACAACUCUCUGUCCAACAAUUUAAGGAAAAUUAAAUUAGGAACUUUCUUUAUUUAACGGCCAGAAAUAUACGUUAUAUUUCCCAUGCUUUGUUUUUUUUAAGUGAGGUAAAAUAGGUUUCCAUAUUUAUAAGAAACAUUUUGAAGUUCUUUUUUUAAUGAUUGACUGUCAUCUUGUCGGUGGCAAACAAAUAAUAAAUAAAGUUUACAAAAUGUUUCUGUCAAAUACAUAUAUUUUUAUAAAGUUUAAAUCUUAUUUGUUUAUAUAUUUGGGUACAAACAUAGUUCACAUAAAGGUACAGGGUAUAUUCUAAAGUUGUGAUUCAUAAUUUUCCAAACAUACCAACAUAAGGGCUGGCUGCAACAUUUCCAGUAGUUUUGUUUUAGAGAGUGAGCCUUUAUUAUUAUGAAUGGGGAAUUAUGGAUCUUCUAGAUAAGAUAAAAUCCCCAUUCUAAUAAAAUGGUACUAUCAUGAUUCUAAUAACAUGUUUGUGUUUUUGCUCAUUGUCAAAGUUUCAGAUGUUGUUUUGACAAAACAGAUUUAUAACAGAAACCAUGCUUAUUAUUAGCUAUACUUGAAAAGUGCAAAACAAAUGAGUCAUGUUGAUGUAUGUAAUGGUAUUAACUACUGUUGCACUGACUGCAAUAAUUUGCAGAUGUCUGAGUCUCAACAAGAUGUCACUAGUUAUUUGGAAAACUGAAGGUAAAUGUCCCAUGAUUCAUGCUUUUUUUCUGACCCAAAGAAAGAACUGAGCAUAGGCAUAAUCUUAUAAUCUAUUUUUACCACUGUGGCCAACAAAAGAAGUGCAUGAUGGACGUGAAGUCCUUCACCAUCUGGCAUUACAACUGCAGGGCAGAUUGAUUGGUAUUGGUUUUGCGAGUUGUGGUUGUACACACAUUCACCAUGUUUACUUUGUCACAAUAUGAACUGUAUGUGCGUGUGUGGUUUGACCAUUAUGCUUGUCAUAUGAAAUAGGAGCUAUGAUGUUCAAGCUUUGAUGUUUUUACGAUUUUUUGUUGUUGUUUAAGUGUCUGAGUUUGCAAGUGUCACAGAUGUUUUGUGAUGAAGGUCUCAGGCGUGCCAUCCCUCCGUUACCUGUUUAUGAACUUGUUGAUUUCAAGAACACUUUUAAGCUAAGACUUAACUAACUGCUUCUUUGAACGGUAAAAGAUUGAUAGAGCUUUUGAUCUUAAAGGGGCACUAGAUUUUCCUAGUCAUGCGGGGGAUCACUGAGCCUGCGCAACAAAACGAUGCUUCUCAGGGUCAUGCUAAAACACUGUGAAGUUGCCUUAUGAUCCACUACUUUUGGAGAUUGAUGCACAACAAAAAGUCAGAAUAUCUUGCCUUCUGCUACAUCAAUUUUGAAUUUGAAUUCUUCUCACUGUGAUAGAAAAUUCAUUAUGAAAUGAAUUCUUGGAGAGUGAUUAAAUCUGUAUCUCGUUAAUCUACGGUUAGUAUUCAUUUCUAAGGGACACUUAUAGUGUGAUACUUUCCGUUUUGUGUCUGCAUGUGUAAUAAUAACACAAGUGUUUUCCUGCAGAAUAACACUGAGCCUCACGGUGUUUGUUGUGUCUAAGCUUGACACUUUGAUGGACAGUUUGACUGCACAUAUGUAUAAUAAAACAAAACUCCAAAUACAA